rnacentral:rRNA from 1 species
GACGAACGCUGGCGGCGUGCUUAACACAUGCAAGUCGAACGGAAAGGCCCUGCUUUUGUGGGGUGCUCGAGUGGCGAACGGGUGAGUAACACGUGAGUAACCUGCCCUUGACUUUGGGAUAACUUCAGGAAACUGGGGCUAAUACCGGAUAGGAGCUCCUGCUGCAUGGUGGGGGUUGGAAAGUUUCGGCGGUUGGGGAUGGGCUCGCGGCUUAUCAGCUUGUUGGUGGGGUAGUGGCUUACCAAGGCUUUGACGGGUAGCCGGCCUGAGAGGGUGGCCGGCCACAUUGGGACUGAGAUACGGCCCAGACUCCUACGGGAGGCAGCAGUGGGGAAUAUUGCACAAUGGGCGGAAGCCUGAUGCAGCAACGCCGCGUGCUGGAUGACGGCCUUCGGGUUGUAAACCGCUUUCGCCUGUGACGAAGCGUGAGUGACGGUAAUGGGUAAAGAAGCACCGGCUAACUACGUG